AAAAAGUAUUGCGUUACAAUGCUGCGAAUGAAGAAAAAAAACAAUCCAGAUGAUGGCGCCGCACAUCCAUUUGUAAUAAUGGAUAUUUGUAUUUUUUAUAUUUAUAUAUAAUUGACAUAAUACAAGUGUAUUAUGACAUGCAGGAACACAAACGCAGUAAGUAGUCCGUGAAUUUCGUUUUUGGGCCUCGGGCGGAGGUACGCGCCUCCAUUGCACGAGAGAUCGCAGCCGUCGAUAAUGUCAAAUAUUGUACGCACGUGCAUCUAUUAUUACAGUAUUAUUAAAGAGCCCCGGCCAGGUCAAGUUUUAUGUUCCAACAGACAAAGACCAGACCCGAGCAGGGAGUCCGGGCUCCUCGGCGGAGACUGAAACGAGCUCGCCGGAUGACUUAACAACCCAAACUCAUGCGAGGAGAUAAACAGAAACGCAAACAGGGCCGCCUGGAAGGAAAUUGACGGAGGACCGUCCGAGCGGGCCAAGGCAGCAGUCGGUUAUUCCAUAAAUCCCGACUCGAACGAGGCCACGUCGGAACCCAAAUGGGACCCAAAUGGCUCAGCGGCGCCGGAGGUGUUACAGUCAGCAGAGCCUUGGGCGGGAUCAUCGCGCACGAGCAUCUUUCCCAAAGUGAAAAACGACGAUCAGAACGUCCUGCAGAAGGGAGCUUUUGCGUUUCGGCCGUUGGGUCACUUGCAUGUGACAGUACACCAUCACGACAGUCUGCGUAUUCUCCAACACGUCGAAAGCGGCUCAUAAAAACUCUCUGGUGUCGUUUCUGAGCGGUAUCUCCACUCGCCAGCACGCAGCGACGAGUGAGGAGAAUUCUCCCGACGUUGUUUUGUUUGGCUGUCCUUGGCCGCCUCUCGCCGCUCGACGAUAUUGACGGCGCGAGUCCCGCGGAGCUGAUUUACUGCAAAUGUGGCGACGCUUGACAACGCUGCGUUCGAUGAGAACGAAGAAGCCCUUCCAUUUGGACGCCGUGGCCGACCGCUGAUUUUAAAAAGUUUUCCCACGCGUGCAUUUUCCUACUGCGGGCUUCGGUGGA